GACGAACGCUGGCGGCGUGCCUAAUACAUGCAAGUAGAACGCUGAAACUUGGUGCUUGCACCGAGCGGAUGAGUUGCGAACGGGUGAGUACCGCGUAGGUAACCUGCCUGGUAGCGGGGGAUAACUAUUGGAAACGAUAGCUAAUACCGCAUAAGAGUGGAUGUUGCAUGACAUUUGCUUAAAAGGUGCUAUUGCACCACUACCAGAUGGACCUGCGUUGUAUUAGCUAGUUGGUGGGGUAACGGCUCACCAAGGCGACGAUACAUAGCCGACCUGAGAGGGUGAUCGGCCAAACUGGGACGGAGACACGGCCCAGACUCCUACGGGAGGCAGCAGUAGGGAAUCUUCGGCAAUGGACGGAAGUCGGACCGAGCAACGCCGCGUGAGUGCAGAAGGUUGUCGGAUCGUAAAGCUCUGUUGUAAGAGAAGAACGAGUGUGAGAGUGGAAAGUUCACACUGUGACGGUAUCUUACCAGAAAGGGACGGCUAACUACGUG
rnacentral:rRNA from 1 species